rnacentral:rRNA from 1 species
UUUUACCGCUAUUGGAGUCCGAUUAAGACAUGCGAGUCGAGAGCUUUCGGAGCUCGGCAUACUGCUCAGUAACACGUGGGUAACCUGCCCUAUGCUGGGGGAUAACCUCGGGAAACUGAGAACAAUACCCCAUAGUCCACUACGCCUGGAACGGUGAGUGGAUGAAAGCCCCGGCGGCAUAGGAUGGGCCUGCGGCGUAUCAGGUUGUAGGGGGUGUAAUGUACCCUCUAGCCUUCGACGCGUACGGGUUGUGAGAGCAAUAGCCCGGAGAUGGAUUCUGAGACAAGAAUCCAGGUCCUACGGGACGCAGCAGUCGCGAAACCUUGACAAUGCGGGAAACCGUGAUCAGGGGACUCCAAGUGCCAGGAGUAAGAUCCUGUGCUUUUCAUCUCUCUUCAAAGGAUUUGGAAUAAGGGGUGGGUAAGGACGGUGCCAGCCGCCGCGGUAAUACCGGCGCCUCAAGUGGUAGUCGAUUUUAUUGGGCCUAAAACGUCCGUCGCCGGUCUGGUGCAUUCGUGGGUGAAUCAACCCGCUCAACGGGGUUGAAUUCUGCGAGCACGGCCAGACUAGGGACCGGGAGAGGUGUACGGUACGCUCGGGGUAUGGGUAAAAUCCUUGUCAUCCCUAGCGGACCACCUGUUGCAAACGCGCUACAUUAGAACGGAUCCCUAC